UGUUGCGUGCCGGGUCAUCGCUCCGUCAAUCCGAGCAUCUGUUCGGAUUGGCGGUGAGGAAAGUCCGAACACCGCAGGGCACCGUGCUUCCUAACGGGAAGACUGCACCGCGCCAGUCCGUACGGCGUCGGUGCAGAUGGCACGUGCAACAGAGAGCAGUCCCGUUCCGGCGCCAGAAUUUGAUUCUGGCGCGUUCGGAAUAAGGGGUGAAAGGGUGCGGUAAGAGCGCACCGGCGUUCCCGGUGACGGGAGCGGCCAGGCAAACCCUACGGGGUGUAAGGCCAAGUCGCACCGUUCCGAUGUGGUUGGGAGUCAGACCGUACCGGAAGAGGCAGCCCACCAAUCGCCGUCGACGCGAGUCACGGCGCGGUGCAGGUAGGCCGCUUGAGGCGGCCGGUGACGGUCGUCCCAGAUAGAUGAUGACCUCCCCUCGGCGCCCUCCGGCGUCGUGGGUAGACUGAAUUCGGCUUACAGGCGUGCACACCAU
rnacentral:RNase_P_RNA from 1 species